rnacentral:rRNA from 1 species
CCUACGGGUGGCAGCAGUGAGGAAUAUUGGUCAAUGGACGAGAGUCUGAACCAGCCAAGUAGCGUGAAGGAUGACUGCCCUAUGGGUUGUAAACUUCUUUUAUAAAGGAAUAAAACGAGGCACGUGUGCCUUUUUGCAUGUACUUUAUGAAUAAGGAUCGGCUAACUCCGUGCCAGCAGCCGCGGUAAUACGGAGGAUGCGAGCGUUAUCCGGAUUUAUUGGGUUUAAAGGGUGCUUAGGCGGGCUGUUAAGUCAGCGGUCAACUGUCGGGGCUCAACCCCGGCCUGCCGUUGAAACUGGCGGCUUCGAGUGGGCGAGAAGUAUGCGGAAUGCGUGGUGUAGCGGUGAAAUGCAUAGAUAUCACGCAGAACUCCGAUUGCGAAGGCAGCAUACCGGCGCCCGACUGACGCUGAGGCACGAAAGCGUGGGUAUCGAACAGGAUUAGAUACCCGAGUAGUC